GAAUCUUCCACAAUGGACGAAAGUCUGAUGGAGCAACGCCGCGUGAGUGAAGAAGGUUUUCGGAUCGUAAAACUCUGUUGUAAGGGAAGAACAAGUACAGUAGUAACUGGCUGUACCUUGACGGUACCUUAUUAGAAAGCCACGGCUAACUACGUGCCAGCAGCCGCGGUAAUACGUAGGUGGCAAGCGUUGUCCGGAAUUAUUGGGCGUAAAGCGCGCGCAGGCGGUCCUUUAAGUCUGAUGUGAAAUCACGUGGCUCAACCACGUGCGGUCAUUGGAAACUGGAGGACUUGAGUGCAGAAGAGGAAAGUGGAAUUCCAAGUGUAGCGGUGAAAUGCGUAGAGAUUUGGAGGAACACCAGUGGCGAAGGCGACUUUCUGGUCUGUAACUGACGCUGAGGCGCGAAAGCGUGGGGAGCAAACA
rnacentral:rRNA from 1 species